GAAACGCUAAUACCGCAUGAGACUACAGAGCUGCAUGGCUCAGUGGUCAAAGGAGCAAUCCGCUGAAAGAUGGACUCGCGUCCGAUUAGAUAGUAGGCGGGGUAACGGGCCCACCUAGUCGACGAUCGGUAGCCGGACUGAGAGGUUGAACGGCCACAUUGGGACUGAGACACGGCCCAGACUCCUACGGGAGGCAGCAUG
rnacentral:rRNA from 1 species